UAAAAAUGUAAUUUGCAUAAACAAAUUUGAAUUGUUUAGUUAUAUAUUUAU
rnacentral:tRNA from 1 species